AGAGUUUGAUCCUGGCUCAGGAUGAACGCCGGCGGUGUGCCUAAUACAUGCAAGUCGAACGCGUUGGUCCAAUUGAUUGAUGGUGCUUGCACCUGAUUGAUUUUGGUCGCCAACGAGUGGCGGACGGGUGAGUAACACGUAGGUAACCUGCCCAGAAGCGGGGGACAACAUUUGGAAACAGAUGCUAAUACCGCAUAACAACGUUGUUCGCAUGAACAACGCUUAAAAGAUGGCUUCUCGCUAUCACUUCUGGAUGGACCUGCGGUGCAUUAGCUUGUUGGUGGGGUAAUGGCCUACCAAGGCGAUGAUGCAUAGCCGAGUUGAGAGACUGAUCGGCCACAAUGGGACUGAGACACGGCCCAUACUCCUACGGGAGGCAGCAGUAGGGAAUCUUCCACAAUGGGCGCAAGCCUGAUGGAGCAACACCGCGUGAGUGAAGAAGGGUUUCGGCUCGUAAAGCUCUGUUGUUAAAGAAGAACACGUAUGAGAGUAACUGUUCAUACGUUGACGGUAUUUAACCAGAAAGUCACGGCUAACUACGUGCCAGCAGCCGCGGUAAUACGUAGGUGGCAAGCGUUAUCCGGAUUUAUUGGGCGUAAAGAGAGUGCAGGCGGUUUUUUAAGUCUGAUGUGAAAGCCUUCGGCUUAACCGGAGAAGUGCAUCGGAAACUGGAUAACUUGAGUGCAGAAGAGGGUAGUGGAACUCCAUGUGUAGCGGUGGAAUGCGUAGAUAUAUGGAAGAACACCAGUGGCGAAGGCGGCUACCUGGUCUGCAACUGACGCUGAGACUCGAAAGCAUGGGUAGCGAACAGGAUUAGAUACCCUGGUAGUCCAUGCCGUAAACGAUGAGUGCUAGGUGUUCGCAUUUUUGCCGAAACGGUUAGUUUCGCUAUUAACAGCAAGCUAAAUGUUUAAAAUAAUUGAAAUGAGCUUUGUGAUACCAAGGGAUCAGUCUGUCUCGGAGCUUUCAAGUUUCAGUAAUUAACUGUUUACCGUACCAAUCACACUUGUAUUCCAGCAUGGUUCUAAAUUGGUACCAACUGGCAUUCGCAAUAGCUUUAGCUAAAUGGUGAUUCUUUUGUAGAUUCUUGGCUUUCAAAUCUUCAAUGACAAUCACAUCG
rnacentral:rRNA from 1 species